rnacentral:rRNA from 1 species
GACGAACGCUGGCGGCGUGCCUAAUACAUGCAAGUAGAACGCUGAAGGAGGAGCUUGCUUCUCUGGAUGAGUUGCGAACGGGUGAGUAACGCGUAGGUAACCUGCCUGGUAGCGGGGGAUAACUAUUGGAAACGAUAGCUAAUACCGCAUAAUAGUAGAUGUUGCAUGACAUUUACUUAAAAGGUGCAAUUGCAUCACUACCAGAUGGACCUGCGUUGUAUUAGUUAGUUGGUGGGGUAACGGCUCACCAAGGCGACGAUACAUAGCAGACCUGAGAGGGGGAUCGGCCACACUGGGAAUUGAACACGGCCCAGACUCCUACGGGAGGCAGCAGUAGGGAAUCUUCGGCAAUGGACGAAAGUCUGACCGAGCAACGCCGCGUGAGUGAAGAAGGUUUUCGGAUCGUAAAGCUCUGUUGUAAGAGAAGAACGAGUGUGAGAGUGGAAAGUUCACACUGUGACGGUAUCUUACCAGAAAGGGACGGCUAACUACGUG